rnacentral:rRNA from 1 species
UAAUACGGAGGGUGCAAGCGUUGUUCGGAAUUACUGGGCGUAAAGCGCGCGCAGGCGGAUGUUCAAGUCAGAAGUGAAAUCUCGCAGCUCAACUGCGAGGCUGCUUCUGAGACUGUACGUCUGGAGACUGGUAGAGGCUGGUAGAAUUCCCGGUGUAGCGGUGGAAUGCGUAGAUAUCGGGAAGAAUACCCGUGGCGAAGGCGGCCAGCUGGGCCAGAUCUGACGCUGAGGCGCGAAAGCGUGGGGAGCAAACAGGAUUAGAUACCCUGGUAGUCCACGCUGUAAACGAUGGGCACUAGGUGCCGGGGGGAGCGACCCCGUCGGUGCCGUAGCUAACGCGAUAAGUGCCCCGCCUGGGGAGUACGGCCGCAAGGCUG